rnacentral:rRNA from 1 species
UACGAAGGGGGCUAGCGUUGCUCGGAAUCACUGGGCGUAAGGGUGCGUAGGCGGGUCUUUAAGUCAGGGGUGAAAUCCUGGAGCUCAACUCCAGAACUGCCUUUGAUACUGAGGAUCUCGAGUCCGGGAGAGGUGAGUGGAACUCCGAGUGUAGAGGUGAAAUUCGUAGAUAUUCGGAAGAACACCGGUGGCGAAGGCGGCAUCCUGGACUACUACUGACGCUGAGGGAGCGAAAGCCAGGGGAGCAAACGGG